AGCAAAAUGAUGAAAAUAGUUUAAAACCCGAAUUUCCCGUGUGGGAAUCCCAUUCCGGGUCUUCAAAGUUCUCUGAUUGUU